GACGAACGCUGGCGGCGUGCCUAAUACAUGCAAGUCGAGCGGAGUUUUUAAAAGCUUGCUUUUAAAAACUCAGCGGCGGACGGGUGAGUAACACGUGGGCAACCUGCCCUGUAGACUGGGAUAACUUCGGGAAACCGAAGCUAAUACCGGAUAAUCAUAGAAGUUGCAUAGCUUCUAUGUAAAAGUUGGGUUUACCUAACACUACAGGAUGGGCCCGCGUCGCAUUAGCUAGUUGGUAAGGUAACGGCUUACCAAGGCGACGAUGCGUAGCCGACCUGAGAGGGUGAUCGGCCACACUGGGACUGAGACACGGCCCAGACUCCUACGGGAGGCAGCAGUAGGGAAUCUUCCGCAAUGGACGAGAGUCUGACGGAGCAACGCCGCGUGAGCGAUGAAAGGGCCUUCGGGUCGUAAAGCUCUGUUGUUAGGGAAGA
rnacentral:rRNA from 1 species